CACAUACACAUGCACAUGUAGGAACUCAGGUCGGGUCUUACAUGAUGUUUGGGUAAUGAAUACAUUUUAAAAUUCGAUGUUUCCAUUGUUAUCCAAACAUGGUGAAAUGUCUCGCCAUGGGAAAUGUCAUCUAUUUCCUUUGCUUUCUUUUCUUUCCUAUAAAUAAAACGUUGUAUAUUCAGCAUAAAAAGUUGCAUGUGAACAUUCUCCAUCAAAAUCUAUCUCUUACACACAUUUGGGAUAUUGUUUGUUGCAGUUGGAAGAUUUUUUGGGGGCGUUCUGGGAGAUGAAAAGGGCUGCUGAGAAAGGACGCCUGCCUAUGUUGAUCUUGAGCAUGAAGGAAAGUAAAUAGCAAAACAUGCCAACUAUCAUAUUUUUGCAUGGCUCUUACAAAACCAAUGAAUGGUUACGGCCAUUACUCAAGGUAAAAGUCAAAUGCUACUGAAUUCUCUCAUCCCUUUGUCAUUAUAUAGAAUUUACAACAACAUGGCCUUUCAAUUGUCCAAUUUCAUUUCCUCAUGAAUAUGUUUCACGAGGAUAUAUAGUUGUUGCCAUUGAUUCC